UAAUCAGCUCAUAGCAAUUGUUCAUUUCUUUUCGAUUUAAAUCGCACCAGAGAGAAUACGAGAACUACGCCAAUGUAUUUAACAACGACUAUGGAAUCGCGCACGAAAGCAAAAGACCGGCUCAUAAUUGUAGAUCGUGCAGCCAGCAGUAAUGAAAUUAUCCACGUUAAUGGGUGGUGGGUUACGACUGACCCAGGGACAGAUCUACUAAAAUACGUACGAUGUAUUCUUGUCAGAUGUUCCAGCAUUUUAAAUAAACAAUUUUUCAACAUUUUUUCUUAGCAUUAAAAAACUAUAAUAUACUGAGAUGAUAGCCGUUGAGAAGCUAUAGCGAUCAACCACAUAUCACAAUCAUACAUUGAAAAGCAGAGAAAGGAUGCAAUCACAAAAAAAAAAGUGGGACAUGAAAGAAUGUCGAGUGGGACUCGACAAAGGAGCUGCUGAGAUAAAAACUGAUGUCAAGUCACACUCCACAUAGCAGUGCAAAGGGUUAAACAGCUUUCAAAGAUCUAAAACUAAAAUCCAUGGGCUCUAGAUAUUUCACAAACACAGAACGCUACAGGCGCAAUACUACGUCGGCCAACUCUUUCCCUUCAAAUAUCUGCGAAAAAACCAUAAAUCACUUUUCAAUUUCAAAUUCAAUCGAAAUAACCUAACUUAACCACAAGCACAGUCUGCUAACGCGCACGCACGCGUUACAAAAGUAACAUUUCACCGAACCACACGAGAACACAUUCUCUCGCUUCCUAUUUGCUUGGAUGCGAAAGAGGAAGCUGGAAAGGAGAUAUGACACCGGGCGAAGAGCCUUCAUCCGUUUGGUUAAUAAAUAAACAGACGGCGGGGCAAAAAGAAUGCGCGAUCAAAGGGGAUCGAACGUCUGCACCGGAAGCAGAGAUACUGGCGGAGCUUCCGUGCUGAUUCCUCAAACGGAUAUUACUCCGGUCUCCCUCGAUCAAUGGCACGUUAACGACGAGACGAUCGGUUGGAAUGAGAAAAGGAUAGGGAGAAACGAGAUAAAAGAGACAGAAGGGAGGAGAAGCAGAGUGAAAGGAGAACGCGACUGGCCGUUGACUUGAAAUCACAUCCGAGCGGAGAAGGAAACAAAGGGAAUAAAUUUGGUUAUAUUCGGGAUAAAUGUUACCGAAACGCGCACGGCCAAGAUAAAAUUCUGUAAACGAGUUCAUUUAACUUUUGAAUGAAUCUGGCUGAGUGAUGAUACGCGUGCAGGGUUAAAGUGGAACAGAUUAGAGGAAAUUAGAGGAUCGAGAAGGAAAGAGGGAAAUUAUGCGAGUAGGAUAAAGGAUCACAUGAUCAAUGUACAAAGGACCUCUUUGCCCUCUUCCGGGGAUAUUAAAUUU